GUAUGGCUUACAACUGCAAAUGCAUACAAAAAUUGCUUGCUAGAGUGUUGUUGCACCAGUUCACUGACCUGUCCAUGUUGGCAUUUUAUCAAACAGCUAGCGUCCCUGAUAUUAGAAGCAAAAGCCCCUAACGGCGGCCGGCGCUUCCCGGCUUUCACGUCAGAUCCUGGUCGCUUCCCGUCGCCGCCGCCGGUGCCUCUGCCGCAACAAAGGAGAUCCUUCAGUAUGCUGAUGAAAGGAGUUGCACCAAUUCCAAGGCCAAUAAGAAAAAGGAUGUCGUAUUUCUUGUAAUUUUGAGCUGGUGCACCGAAAGGGCCAUCAACAAAGAUCUUGGGAAAUCUAAAUAAAGAAAGCCAAGUCACCAAAGUUAGUGCAAUAUCGCCUAAUAUACAUAUCCUCAAGCAAUUCCUUAAGAAAGCUUGAGGUAUAAUCACUUGGUAUUCUCUUCCGCGCCUUCCGCUAUGACUGUGGUCUCAAGUCUUGAUAGUGUAGCCUUCUUGGAAUUUACUUCUUCUUCACAUGCCUGCAUGAAUUAUUAUACUUUUUCAUCAGUUAACUAAAAUAUAUAGAGUGUAAGCUCCUCACAAGUUGUACUUCUUCUAUGCUCCCUCCUCACUUUUUCUACUGACCUUCCCAAAUAGGUUCCUUAGUUCUGUUGUCCAGUCACCUAAUGUGCGGAUAUGUACACUCAAGUAGUCGUCCCCAGGUGCAGAGGUGAUGGAGAAGGGAUGCCUGCAAACAUUGAAGAAAGUUUUGAAGCCAAAGCCUUGGAAAACUCGUUACUUGGAAAAUAUGGAUGAUGGGAUGGUACCAUUCAAAAGGCGAAACGUCUGGGCAUUUUACAAAGAGGUACAUCCCACUUUUGUAUUUGAAACUUGAUGGCUUCUUCAUGUAAAGAGAGAGAACAUUUCCUGGGUAAAUUGCUGCCUGCAUGACACAUAGAACCAUAA